rnacentral:rRNA from 1 species
UACAGAGGUCUCAAGCGUUGUUCGGAUUCAUUGGGCGUAAAGGGUGCGUAGGCGGCGCGGUAAGUCGGGUGUGAAAUUUCGAGGCUUAACUUCGAAACUGCAUUCGAUACUGCGGUGCUUGAGGACUGGAGAGGAGACUGGAAUUUACGGUGUAGCAGUGAAAUGCGUAGAGAUCGUAAGGAAGACCAGUGGCGAAGGCGGGUCUCUGGACAGUUCCUGACACUGAGGCACGAAGGCCAGGGGAGCAAACGGG